rnacentral:sRNA from 2 species
UCCUGUUCUGCGGGGAGAUGGAUGAGAACCUUCGAUUAAGGUUCGGGUCGAGCCUUGCGAGACAACGCGCUUCAGCGCGGCCCGAAGGGUGAGGCGCAACGCGCCGAAUAAUCCUUCUCCCACCACCA